rnacentral:rRNA from 1 species
GACGAACGCUGGCGGCGUGCUUAACACAUGCAAGUCGAGCGAUGAACCACCUUCGGGUGCGGAUUAGCGGCGAACGGGUGAGGAACACGUGAGGAAUCUGCCUUCCACUCUGGGAUAACUCCGGGAAACCGGGGCUAAUACCGGAUAUGACCCCUGGCGGCAUCGCUGGGGGUGGAAAGUUUUUCGGUCAAGGAUGAGCUCGCGGCCUAUCAGCUAGUUGGUGAGGUAAUGGCUCACCAAGGCGACGACG